rnacentral:rRNA from 1 species
UGGGGAAUAUUGGACAAUGGGCGAAAGCCUGAUCCAGCCAUGCCGCGUGUGUGAAGAAGGUCUUCGGAUUGUAAAGCACUUUAAGUUGGGAGGAAGUGCAGUAAGCGAAUACCUUGCUGUUUUGACGUUACCGACAGAAUAAGCACCGGCUAACUCUGUGCCAGCAGCCGCGGUAAUACAGAGGGUGCAAGCGUUAAUCGGAAUUACUGGGCGUAAAGCGCGCGUAGGUGGUUCGUUAAGUUGAAUGUGAAAGCCCCGGGCUCAACCUGGGAACUGCAUCCAAAACUGGCGAGCUAGAGUAGGGCAGAGGGUGGUGGAAUUUCCUGUGUAGCGGUGAAAUGCGUAGAUAUAGGAAGGAACACCAGUGGCGAAGGCGACCACCUGGGCUCAUACUGACACUGAGGUGCGAAAGCGUGGGGAGCAAACAGG